AUUGUGACGCUGGCGGCAUGCCUUACACAUGCAAGUCGCAACGGUAACAGGUCUUCGGAUGCUGACGAGUGGCGGACGGGUGAGUAAUGCGUAAGAAUCUGUCUUUUAGUGGGGGACAACCCAGGGAAACUUGGGCUAAUACCGCAUGAGCCCUGAGGGGGAAAGCGGGGGAUCUUCGGACCUCGCGCUAAGAGAGGAGCCUACGUCCGAUUAGCUAGUUGGCGGGGUAAAGGCCCACCAAGGCGACGAUCGGUAGCUGGUCUGAGAGGACGACCAGCCACACUGGGACUGAGACACGGCCCAGACUCCUACGGGAGGCAGCAGUGGGGAAUUUUUCGCAAUGGGGGCAACCCUGACGAAGCAAUGCCGCGUGGAUGAAGAAGGCCUUCGGGUUGUAAAGUCCUUUCGUGGAGGACGAAAAGGUGGGUUCUAAUACAAUCUGCUAUUGACGUGAAUCCAAGAAGAAGCACCGGCUAACUCCGUGCCAGCAGCCGCGGUAAUACGGGGGGUGCAAGCGUUAAUCGGAAUCACUGGGCGUAAAGGGUGCGUACGCGGUACGUUAGGUCUGUCGUGAAAUCCCCGGGCUCAACCCUGGGAAUGGCGGUANAAACCGGCGCACUAGAGCUAUGGGAAAAGGGUGGUGGAAAUUUCCCNGUUGUACCCGGUGAAAAUGCGUUAAAAUNUUCUGGGGAGGAACCUUUCAGUUGGGCCAAA
rnacentral:rRNA from 1 species